rnacentral:rRNA from 1 species
CUACGGGAGGCACCAGGCGAGAAAACUUUGCAAUGUGCGAAAGCACGACAAGGUUAAUCCGAGUGGUUUCUGCUAAAGGAACCUUUUGACAGUCCUAGAAACACUGUUGAAUAAGGGGUGGGCAAGUUCUGGUGUCAGCCGCCGCGGUAAAACCAGCACCUCAAGUGGUCAGGAUGAUUAUUGGGCCUAAAGCAUCCGUAGCCGGCUCUGUAAGUUUUCGGUUAAAUCUGUACGCUCAACGUACAGGCUGCCGGGAAUACUGCAGAGCUAGGGAGUGGGAGAGGUAGACGGUACUCGGUAGGAAGGGGUAAAAUCCUUUGAUCUAUUGAUGACCACCUGUGGCGAAGGCGGUCUACCAGAGCACGUCCGACGGUGAGGGAUGAAAGCUGGGGGAGCAAACCGGAUUAGAUACCCUGGUAGUC